AUUGAACGCUGGCGGCAGGCUUAACACAUGCAAGUCGAGCGGGGUGAUGGUGCUUGCACUAUCACUUAGCGGCGGACGGGUGAGUAAUGCUUAGGAAUCUGCCUAUUAGUGGGGGACAACAUCUCGAAAGGGAUGCCAAUACCGCAUACGUCCUACGGGAGAAAGCAGGGGAUCACUUGUGACCUUGCGCUAAUAGAUGAGCCUAAGUCGGAUUAGCUAGUUGGUGGGGUAAAGGCCUACCAAGGCGACGAUCUGUAGCGGGUCUGAGAGGAUGAUCCGCCACACUGGGACUGAGACACGGCCCAGACUCCUACGGGAGGCGGCAGUGGGGAAUAUUGGACAAUGGGGGGAACCCUGAUCCAGCCAUGCCGCGUGUGUGAAGAAGGCCUUAUGGUUGUAAAGCACUUUAAGCGAGGAGGAGGCUCUUUUGGUUAAUACCCAAGAUGAGUGGACGUUACUCGCAGAAUAAGCACCGGCUAACUCUGUGCCAGCAGCCGCCGUAA
rnacentral:rRNA from 1 species